rnacentral:misc_RNA from 1 species
GAUGAAGAACGCAGCAAAAUGCGAUACUUGGUGUGAAUUGCAGAAUCCCGUGAACCAUCGAGUUUUUGAACGCAAGUUGCGCCCGAAGCCUUUUGGCCGAGGGCACGUCUGCCUGGGCGUCACGCAUCGCGUCGCCCCCCACAAUUCUCCGUAAAGGGAACAUGUGUUUUGGGGGCGGAUAUUGGUCUCCCGUGCUCAUGGCGUGGUUGGCCGAAAUAGGAGUCCUUUCGAUGGACGCACGAACUAGUGGUGGUCGUAAAAACCCUCGUCUUUUGUUUCGUGCUGUUGCUCGCAAGGUAAACUCUUUAAAAACCCCAAUGUGUCGUCUCUUGACGACGCUUCGACCGCGACCCCAGGUCAGGCGGGACUACCCGCUGAGUUUAAGCAUAUCAAAAGCGGAGGA